CUGGAGGUCGAUGCUGGCGUCAGACAGCGGCGAGAUGGACAGAGCCCGCUUCCUGCUCAGCCUGGGCGUCAGUCUGGGGCUGGAGAACCGCGACACUGUGGACACACAGGGUUGGAGAGACAGACGCGGCGCCCCGGACCUUCAUUCAUCGGAGCUAACAGAUCCUGUUAAUUGUAACCUGGUGUGUCUCGUCUCCGAGCUGCCGGAUCAGAGAAGACAAGAAGAACAAAAAGCCGGAGAGAGAGAGAGAGAGGAGGGAGAGCUCUGCCUGCCGACGGCGUGAAGUCCGCACACCGACCGCCGAGGUUGAGCGAGCGCUUUGAUCCCUGACCCUCGGCCAAAUGGUCCGGCUGCAGCGCGACCACUCGCUGUUUUACAGCCACAGUUUGGAGCGCGGACUUCCUGUCCACUGCCACGACGGGCCUUCACUUACCAACACCUACGGUCAGUCUAAACACACACAUCCAACCACAGCAUCCAACCACAGCAUCCAACCACAACAUCCAACCACAACAUCCAACCACAGCAUCCAACCACAACAUCCAACCACAACAUCCAACCACAGCAUCCAACCACAACAUCCAACCGCAGCAUCCAACCACAGCAUCCAACCACAACAUGCACACCUGCACAGCUUCUCCACAAACCCGCUCAUCCGUGAACUACAUGAACUCUGCCUCUUCACGAGAUGAUCUGAAGUUGCUUUGGUUGCGUCUCCGUCUCACACCAACUUCAAACUGACUGAUUCAAACAGUGGAGUCAUUCUCUGUCUCUCUCUGUGUUUCUGGUGCAUGCAGUCAGUAGAUAGACAGAUGGAUGUAGUUGCAGAUUGUAACCCCCUCUCUUCUUCCUCCAUGUCUAACUCUGAAGUCAGCGUUUA